UGGAAGCCAGCAAGUUCAGCUGCGCCGGCAGAGAUUGUCAACAGCGACCUGUAGCUGAGCGCCUAAUGCGCCUGCGCCAAGUUAUGAUUAUAAGAUCUGCGUUGUGUAAGGUAUUUCCCCAUAAAGCAAGAUUUUCCCAGAAAAGAGAAUAUAGUUCGUUUCUAAGUAUUAACUCCCUUUAGAUCUGGUUGCCUCGUAGUGAAGCAUAGGAAUACACUGCUUGUAAAUUUGGUUAGGUGCCUGAGGCACAGCGAAGAAGUGUCUAGCCCAAAGCGGAUGAGAAGUUGCUCCUUAUACCACUGGACCUGCAGAUAGUGGCACCACAGAAACACAUGCACCCAGGACUCCCAUGUGACUCCCCUGCAUUAUUCUAAACUGUACUUAACAUUGGUUUUCACUGUACAGUCAGUACCAAAGGUCAGAGCUAAGGCUACGUGAAGAGUUGCACAUACUGCUGUCUUGGCAGAGCACCUUAAAGCGCAUCUAAUUCUGUGUAUACAGUAUAAUGCAUGCAAAUAAUGCAUGCAAAGAAGUAAAG